rnacentral:misc_RNA from 1 species
CGCACCUUGCGCUCCUUGGUAUUCCGAGGAGCAUGCCUGUUUGAGUGUCAUUAAAUUCUCAACUCCAUGUAUUAUUGUGAUGAUAGAUGGGGCUUGGAUAUGGGAGCUUGCGGGUCUUUAUAAGGUCAGCUCUCCUGAAAUACAUUAGCGGAACCGUUUGCAGUUGCCGUCAGUAGUGUGAUAAGUUUAUCUACACUGUGAUGGAUUGCUCUCUGACUAGUUCAGCUGCUAAUCGUCUGUUGUGGACAACUAUGAUGAUGAUCUUGACCUCAAAUCAGGUAGGACUACCCGCUGAACUUAA